rnacentral:lncRNA from 1 species
CUUUAAUAAAUGGUGCUAUACUUACCCGUCUUUUCAUAUUCAAGUAUAACGCCCUUUUAAAGGGCGCUAUGCCUUAACAGGUAAAUGCCUGUAAAACAUAUUUUUCUCGUGCAUUAGUGCUAAGUGAAAACAACUACAAACCAAUUUAAAUAGGAAGACAUGCUUAUCUGAUAUUCAAGAAUUACGACUAAUUUUUUAUACAAGAAUCAGAAUCCGAACUUUAAAACAUCAAUCACUUCUAUUACAAUUCUCCAUGAAAUUGCUAAACUAAUGAAUACUUUACAAUUCGGAUAUAAUAUAUCCACAUAAACCUUAAUCCACAACAUGAAGUAGUUAACCUUCAGCACACUGCCAGCGACAGAAUCCCAUUCUUAGGCUUAGAAUUUUGCUCAUUUGGCGAACUAGUGGCCAAAUCCGCAAACUAUAGCCAUGUGAUCAGCAACAACAGCCUUCUAUAUCCUCAAAUUGGCACAAAAUUACUCAUCACAUAUACAGAAAACUAUAAUAGAUCUAUUGCUAAAUCUGCAAGAUUUAAACAAAUUUCAAACAUCAUUUGAGAUUAUCAAUCAACUCAACAAUUAAAGACUCAUACUUAGUUGAUCAAAUUUUCAGAAGUGUUAUAUUUCAAAGCUACUUCACUGUUUCUAUUUAUGAUUAAAACGAAAAGUCCAUUAAAUCACACACUAAGAUAGCAACAACAGAUAUUCAGAGAUCAAACAAGAGUAGAAGCAUUUCUAGUCAUUUGAUAAGAGCAUAAAAUGCAAAGAGAUCUUGGUACUGACCUAGUUAAACAAGAAAACACUAAGAUAUCCAAAUAAGAACAGAAUCUGAUUCAAACUGGAAGCUCACCAAGAGUCUUCAGCAGUAAAACCCAGGUCUUGAAGGUCAAUCAAACUUGUAAAACUCCAAAGAGAUGAAGCAAGAAGACAGAAUAGAGGAAAGUUUGGAAUUUUCUCUAUUUUUCAUAUUGUUUCUUUAUUCAGAGAACUCAGUGAGGAUCAGAGUAACAGUGUAAAAUCUAGUGUGUUUUUGUGAGUGGAUAUGCAGAAAAAAUAACGUGUCCACUGUGAGGGAGUAUGAGGUCCCUUAUAUAAUUCAAUGGGUGCCCUUAUUAGAGAAGAAAGAGAGGGAAUAUAUGGGAAUCCUGUCAGAUAAAAAUCAGGAAAUUGGCAUCUAUUUUUUAACAGAAAAUGGUCAGCUGUCCUAUUUGCAAACAAUUGUCCUUUUUCGCUAAUUUUCAGCACCGGCCACCUCCUGAAAUUAACCCAAUUUGACCCAAAUCUGACCUAAUUUCAAUUGUCUUUAUUACAAUUUGACCCUUUCUAGAAGCUUCCCACAUAACCAACUCCGAUUCCCUAAUUUUGGUGUAACCUUUAGUCCCCUCUAAUUUCUAUUAUUUACUCUUAAAACCCCCAAACAAACAAACCUUUCCUAAUGAUUACAAACAGCUUCAACAAGAAAAUCAAACGUAUACAAAGAUCAAAACAAGGCAAACAAAUGCAAUUUGAAUAAAACUUUUUUUUAACAAGAACCUGUUUCAACAUUCAAGACCAGCUAAAUUAACCAAUCAUUCAAUUGAACUAGUUACUAAACUACUGAACUAAAUCAUGAAAAACACAAAACUAAGAAAUCUUAAAUCCUAAAUAGUCCGAAUCAAUUUAGCAUAGGAGAAAAAUGGCAUACUUUUGAGAAAGAUUAAAAAGAAGGGAAAAUUACUUAAUCGGACAGAAAGAAAUGACUUACUAAUGACAACGAAGAGUUUUUGUUUUUUGAAAGAAUCUGGACAAAUCAACAAUGGCUCCGACUCGAAACCAGAUCUCCAAGAUACAGCGUGAAACUUACAUCAUUAGAUAGUUCUCAUCAAAAUUUUCAAAUGACGUAAAUUUCGACCAUACAUGGGUGGAAUCUAACGAGAGAACUAAAAAAAAUUAUUUUAGGUUUUUUCUUGAUUGCUGAGAUUGGAAAAUCGACGAGCUUGGUGAAGUUUUUGGGAAAAUUGAUGGUAGAUUGGGGUUGAGGGGGAGUUGGGGAUUAUAGGGUGAAGGCUGGAGUGAUUUGGAGUGGUGGCCGCCGGCAAAGGGUCUUGGGACGGCUAGGGUUUGGGAGGGAAUUUAAGAGAGAUGAGGGAUAGAGAAGUUGAGAGGUCUUUA